rnacentral:rRNA from 1 species
CUCUAUGAGACUGCCGGUGACAAACCGGAGGAAGGUGGGGAUGACGUCAAGUCCUCAUGGCCCUUAUGGGUAGGGCUUCACACGUCAUACAAUGGUCGGAACAGAGGGUUGCCAACCCGCGAGGGGGAGCCAAUCCCAGAAAACCAAUCGUAGUCCGGAUCGCAGUCUGCAACUCGACUGCGUGAAGCUGGAAUCGCUAGUAAUCGCGGAUCAGCAUGCCGCGGUGAAUACGUUCCCGGGUCUUGUACACACCGCCCGUCACACCAUGGGAGUGGGUUUUGCCAGAAGUAGGUAGCCUAACCGUAAGGAGGGCGCUUACCACGGCAGGGUUCAUGACUGGGGUGAAGUCGUAACAAGGUAGCCGUAUCGGAAGGUGCGGCUGGAUCACCUC